UGUCUUUGCUCCUAAAGCGUUCUAUGUUGGCUCCUCUGAUAAUGUCGUGAUUCAAGUUCAUGGAUAUACAGAACCAUUUUCUGUGUCCAUUGCUAUUAAAAGUUAUCCUGACAAAAACUUCACAUAUUCUCUUGGCCAAAUUAAUCUCUCUUCAGAAAAUAAAUUUCAGGGCUCUGCACACUUAACUAUAGAACCAAAAGAUUUGUCUGGAAUUCUAAACACAGCUUCACAUGUGUAUUUAGAAGUUGUCUCUGAUUAUUUUUCAAAAACAACACAAAUUCCACUACGCAAUGACAAUGGAUUCAUCUUCAUUCAGACAGAUAAAUAUCUUUACUUACCAUUUGAACGGUCAGUAAGUAUUAGAGUUUACUCAUUGGAAGAAGACCUAACGCCAUCACAAAGAGAAGUUAUCUUAACUAUCCAAGAACCAGCCGGGG